CCUACGGGUGGCAGCAGUCGAGAAUCAUUCACAAUGGGGGAAACCCUGAUGGUGCGACGCCGCGUGGGGGAAUGAAGGUCUUCGGAUUGUAAACCCCUGUCAUGUGGGAGCAAAUUAAAAAGAUAGUACCACAAGAGGAAGAGACGGCUAACUCUGUGCCAGCAGCCGCGGUAAUACAGAGGUCUCAAGCGUUGUUCGGAAUCACUGGGCGUAAAGCGUGCGUAGGCUGUUUCGUAAGUCGUGUGUGAAAGGCGCGGGCUCAACCCGCGGACGGCACAUGAUACUGCGAGACUAGAGUAAGGGAGGGGGAACCGGAAUUCUCGGGGUAGCAGUGAAAUGCGUAGAUAUCGAGAGGAACACUCGUGGCGAAGGCGGGUUCCUGGACAUUAACUGACGCUGAGGCACGAAGGCCAGGGGAGCGAAAGGGAUUAGAUACCCUAGUAGUC
rnacentral:rRNA from 1 species